UACGUAGGGGGCUAGCGUUGUCCGGAUUCAUUGGGCGUAAAGCGCGCGUAGGCGGCCCGGUAAGUCCGCUCUGAAAGUCCUGGGCUCAACCCUGGAAUGCGGGUGGAUACUGCCGGGCUAGAAUCCGGAAGAGGCGAGUGGAAUUCCUGGUGUAGCGGUGGAAUGCGCAGAUAUCAGGAGGAACACCAAUAGCGAAGGCAGCUCGCUGGGACGGUAUUGACGCUAAGGCGCGAAAGCGUGGGGAGCAAACAGG
rnacentral:rRNA from 1 species